UGGAAGAUUGAUACUCAAAAGAUGUAAAGUCUAGGUCUUUUGACACAAAUUCUUCUUAUAAUAAUUUAAAAGCUUUUCGAUGACUGUAAAUUGUCACGUACUAAUUUACAGACAGAUACGGAGCUGACACUU